GACAGAGGUGCCGAGCGUUAGGCGGAAUCACUGGGCUUAAAGCGUGUGUAGGCGGACCGUUAAGUACCUUGUGAAAAUCCCCCCGGCUCAACCGGGGAACGGCUGGGUAUACUGGCGGUCUUGAGCCAUCCAGGGGCAGUCGGAACAGACGGUGGAGCGGUGAAAUGCGUAGAUAUCGUCUGGAACGCCGAAGGUGAAAACAGACUGCUGGGGAUGCGCUGACGCUGAGACACGAAAGCCAGGGGAGCGAACGGGAU
rnacentral:rRNA from 1 species